UUACGGCCAUAUCACAUUGAAAGGGCAGUUCUCGUACGACCACUGAAGUUAAGCAACGUCGAGGCUAAUCGGUACCUAGAUGGGUGACCGCUUGAGAUUAACAGGUAUU